CCUACGGGAGGCAGCAGUAGGGAAUCUUCGGCAAUGGACGAAAGUCUGACCGAGCAACGCCGCGUGAGUGAAGAAGGUUUUCGGAUCGUAAAGCUCUGUUGUAAGAGAAGAACGGGUGUGAGAGUGGAAAGUUCACACUGUGACGGUAUCUUACCAGAAAGGGACGGCUAACUACGUGCCAGCAGCCGCGGUAAUACGUAGGUCCCGAGCGUUAUCCGGAUUUAUUGGGCGUAAAGCGAGCGCAGGCGGUUAGAUAAGUCUGAAGUUAAAGGCUGUGGCUUAACCAUAGUACGCUUUGGAAACUGUUUAACUUGAGUGCAGAAGGGGAGAGUGGAAUUCCAUGUGUAGCGGUGAAAUGCGUAGAUAUAUGGAGGAACACCGGUGGCGAAAGCGGCUCUCUGGUCUGUAACUGACGCUGAGGCUCGAAAGCGUGGGGAGCAAACAGGAUUAGAUACCCUGGUAGUCCACGCCGUAAACGAUGAGUGCUAGGUGUUGGGUCCUUUCCGGGACUCAGUGCCGCAGCUAACGCAUUAAGCACUCCGCCUGGGGAGUACGACCGCAAGGUUGAAACUCAAAGGAAUUGACGG
rnacentral:rRNA from 1 species